CCAGAUCAGCUUCUUUCACCUAGGAGGGAAAAUACCUGCUGACAGCCCCCAAGCCUCAAUCCCUCCACCCUUGCCACUGGCAAACUGCGGUUGAGGUUUAGGUUGCCUGCCUUGGCAAUCCUGGCUGUCCUCACAGAAGGGCAUGUGAACCGCCAGCCUGGCUGUCUUUUUCGUUGGGUUGGCUCUGCAGUGGAGGCUGGCGGAUGAGCAAGUGAUGAGCCCGCCCUUGCUGGCCGUGCAGUUUGGCUCUGUCAUGCUCUUGGCCAUUGAAUCGGCCUAAUGCAGCCCUCAGUAGCCAGCCUGGUGUUCCCGGGGGCUGAGAAUCUAGUGUCAACAGGGCACAAUUCGAUUCACAUUAAAAAUGGGUAUUAAGCCUUUUUA